UUUUUUUUUUUUUUUAGUUAUUUUUUUGUUGUUUUAUAGUUAUUCUCUUGUUGUUUGUUAAGUUAUUCUAAUUUUGUUUUCUAGUUAUUUAUUUAUUUUUUUUUAUUUUACUUAUAUACAGUAUUUUUGUAAUUUUAAAAUUUUAACAUAGUGUUUUUAUAAACUUAGUACAGUAAGAAUAUAAAAAUCUGUCCCAAUAAUUUUGUAAAUUUUUCUCCAUUUUAUGUAUGAAUUUUAUAAGUCCCUAGGUAUAACUCCUCAUGAGUCAUAUUAUGAUUGGGACUCAUUAAAUUAUUAUUUUAUAGAAUAUUACAUCAUGAAAACCCAUUCCAUGAUCAAUUUUCCUACUACUGAAUAACUUCAUUGACAGUACACUGUAAAGAUUUAACAGUAACCAUAUACAUUCCCUCUAGAAUCUCACAACAUAAACCAUAAUAUCUAUACAAGUUAUUUUUGUCUAUUUUAUAUAUUUCACAUGUUAAUUAGUCACCUUGGGUAAUGAAACUACUUACUGUUUGUGUUUUCUCAAGGUUCAGCGAAUUGGACGAUGAGGAUAUGCAUGCAUAGAGUCGCGUUGAUAUGAUAUGCAACUCACUAGGUUGAAUGAGUAUGUAUGUUUCGAUCCCUUUUCCCCAUAUAUAUGUAUUGAAUAAUAUUAUUAUAUGAUCAAGAUCCAAAGCAAUAUUCUACUUAAUUGGUUUAUUAUUAACUACUCCCAUGCACAUCAUACGUGCCUGAUAUAUUAUGUUAAUUAUAGAAACGUUCCAGGCAUAGAUUGUAAAAAAUUGUGCUUUCUUGAUUUCAGUUUAUACACUUGUUGGUACAAGGAAUACAAAGAGAAAUUGCUAAAAGCCAAAGUAGGAGAAAAUCAUUCUUUUAGGGCUCGUUUGGAUCCCUGUAUAAGGGUUCUGUAUUGUAUUAAAUUAUAAGAGUACAAUGUUUGGGUAGGACCUUGUAUUGUAAUAGAUAUUACAGUCUUAAUUUUUAAUACAAUCUAUCCUGUAUUAUUCUAUGCUGAAUAAAAACAGUGUAUAAGAUUGUAUUGUAUUAUUUUGGACGGUGUUAGCCAGUACUCUCCCUCUCACCCAAACUUCUUCGUUUUCCCGUUCAGCCAUCGAUUCUCUGGCCGAUUUAGCCUGGAUUUCUCGGUGAAGAGGUUCUCCGGCAGAUCGAUCUCUCAGAUUCAUUUCUCAGUGAAAAGCAACUUCAUCUUCUCUAGCAUAUCAAUGGCUCAGAUUCAUUUGACCAGGUGUGCUGUCCGCUGCUAGCACUCAAUUCUUCUCUGUACAACCCAGAAAGAGCCGAGGUUCUGCUAUUUUGCUUUAGAUAUGGAUAUGCAACAUUAACUUGGAGUUGGCUAAGGAGUUGAAAUCGAUGGGACUUUCGGUUGAUGAUCAACUUGAUGCAUUGACGUACAUGUUGAAGAAGCCAGAAUAUGUAGCAACCUUCAAGUCAAUAGAUGGAGAAAUUCGAGAGCCUUUUGUGACAAGAGUUCUCAGAGAAGUUAGAUCAAGUCGUUGAUAGAGAACUUUGGUUUUAUUGGUUGAACUUUAAUGUGGUCGGUUGAACUUUGAUUUGGUCGGUUGAACUUUAGUUUUAUUGGUUGAACUUUGAUUUGGUCAGUUGAACUUUGGUUUUAUUGGUUGAACUUUGAUUUGGUCGGUUGAACUUUGACGGUGCUACAAGGUUUAUUUUAGUUAUGUAAACUUUAUUUUUUUAAAAAAAAAAAAUUGGUUACUUUUUUAUGACAA